rnacentral:rRNA from 1 species
UAAUCGAUAAACCACGAAAUAUCUUACUUGUUUUAAGUAGUUUGUAUACCGUCAUUACUAGAUAACAUUUAUAGAUAAAGUUAUUGAAAUUAGUUAAAGCUAAGUAUAUUAGAUCAAGGUGCAGCUAAUAAUCAAGGAAAAAUGGGUUACAAUAAUAUUUGUUUAUAACGGAUUUCUUAAAGAAUAAUAGAAUGAAGGAGGAUUUGUUUGUAAGUUUGUUUUAAUAAGUCAAAUUGAAUUUAGCUCUAAAAUGAGUACAUAUCGCCCGUCGCUCGCGGGAAAA